UUCCAUAUCUCUCCUAGGUUUUUGACUUGGGCAUUGAAUCCUUUAUGGAGUCUCAUGAAUCAUGAAAUCCCGACGAAAAUCUCAAUGCUGGAUAUAUUCCCCUGUAUCAGGUGUUAUUCAUCUGUUGAACUGUUCAUCUCCAUCUCAAAUUACAGAUUCAAUUCCAUUUAGCAUUUACAUUUUCGUUCUCUCUGUAAAAUCCUAGACCCAAAAACACCGUCGUCAUUUCUCUCAGCCUCCACUGCAACCGCUAAACCCUUCAGUCGUCCCACAAGGUACACCAUAAGAUCACAUAAAAUUGAAAGGAAAAUAAAAGGUAUAUCAAAUCCUUUGAAUGUAAUCUCGACAUGUGACAAAAAAUCCUAGAUCUGUCAAAAAGAUAUUGAUGUCAAAAAAGAAAAUCCUAGAUCUGUUAAAACACCACAAAUUCGCUCAUUGUUUCUCUUUCUUCCUCUUUUAACCCACGAUCUCUGGAGGUUUGCUUCCGUAUUUAGAAUUUUUUUCGUUUUUUUGACCAUUUGGAAUAAAGGAUCCCUAAUGAAUAGGGAGAACGAUCAAAAAGAUUCAUCAGGAAAUUACGACUUCUAUGGGAGGCAUAAGGAAGAACAGCCAAACAAAUAAAGAUUGGUUUUUUGCUUUCAAUCCCCUAGCCGCUGCCUUACCAGCGAUUUGGGGUUUUUUUGUGGCCAUCUCUGACCUUUUUCUUGCUACUUCAAAAACAGAAAGGCAUACUUUACAUAUAUCUUCUUCUUAGAUGGAGAUAGUGGCUUUAUUCAACAUAAAUCAACCAUCAAAUAGAGGGACCAUACCAUAUUACAAGGGGAAAAAGAAAGGAAGAAGAAGCAGAUGAAAAAGAUGGAAAAGAAGGGUCGGACAAAGAGAUUUGCAAACAAGGGUUGGCUUUUACGGUUGAGAUUCACCAAUGUUAACCAAGGAUCGAGGUAAGAAUUUUUCAAGUUGAACUAGUUCUUUAUGAUUAUUUCGAGUCAAUUCUAGACCAUCUGCUGACAUCUUUUGGAAUUUUGAAAAAGAUGAGUUUUCCCUAUCAUAUAGAUCAACGUUUAUAAGAUUGAGCAACCUUUGUCAUUAUAUUUUUAAUUUCCUGAUGUGAACAAGUAAUGUGAUGAAUUUUAAUGUUUAUUACUCUCUUUUAUGAUGCCA